UUCAUAUUCUUGUUAUGUCUUGUUUACUGUUUGCAGGCGUUUUUUUUUUGUUGAAACAGUUUCAUUCGCGCUUGUGUCGUUCGUAGUUAUGGAAAUUUAAACGAACAUAUUGUUUCUAUCAUUUUGUACAUAAUGAUAAACUCCGACAUACUAAUUGAGAAGUAUUUCGAACACCGUAAGGUGCACGAAAGCUUUUUGCAGCUCUUCAGCAAUCUGUUCGAGACAGUCAUGAAAAUGCAAACAUUAGCAUCAGACGUAAGUCGGCACUAUGAUGCUAUCUUCGAACAGUUGAAAUUACAUAGCCAAACACCACCUGUUGUUUCUCACAAAAGGCGCAAAGCUCACUCCAUUGAUUCUCCUUCAAAUAUUGUUCGCGCGCUUGAGGAAACCUCGACUGCGCGCAAUAAAUCUGAUUCAGAGCUUUCUAGCUCCAUAUUGAAUCAAAAUAUCAAUCUACCGGACUCGGACGAAUCGUUCUUUGCACUUACGCAGACCCCAACCAGGACUCCUUUGUCACCAAAAGUUCCUAGCGGUUCCGUAGAUAACGUUCAAUAUACACCACCUAGAAAAAAAUGGAUCAAAACCGAACUCUGUGAAACACCUGAUCAAAAAUUAUUGGAAACGGAAAAGAAGAAAAAGAAGCACAAUUUAUCUCUCAACAGAUUUUCCUCAGCUUUACCAACAUCUCCAGAAACAAAUAAGCAAAUUGAACAGCUUCCUGUGAGGGCAAAAAUGGCAACACCUAAGACUGGGAGCGGAGAACAACAAGAGAAUGUAGUCCCAGCUGGAAAAUGGACGGUUAAAAAAGGAAACACUGGAUCUGCCAGUGUAGUGGCAUCCAACUCAAAACGAACACCAACACCAACUGGGAAGAACAAUUCUCUUUUAAACCGGACCAGGUUGCGCCAAACUAAGUUACGUUUUCCUGACAACCUGAACAAAUCGGAUGUAGUUGAAGAUCAAACUUAUUUUGAUGAUUUUGUCGUGCCGAGUCCAACCGCUUUCAGUGGUUCACGUUUUCUAAAAAGCAUUAAGAAACGAGAACAGUCUUCACUGAUAGGUGACUCUAAAUCGAUGAAAGUUCAACCACAAGCGAAUCCUCCCGAAGAUGAUCAUUUUGAUAUCGAUCAGACCUAUUUCUCGGAAGCGGAAAAAGAUUUGACUCGGCAAACGUCUCACACAUCCUGUGUUAAAAAGGAAAACUUAUUUCCCAAAAAGAUUCCAAUAGCUCCCAACGAACCAGUUUCGACUAAAGAAACUAAACAGAUAAAUGACGUCGACUCAGAUACGAGUAGUGUUUUGUUUGUAAAUCCCCCAGCGGCACAGGUCAUCGUCAUCGAAGAAACGCAACCAAAUCAAAAAGAUCUGUUUAUGGAAGCUAUCCGGGAGCAGCGUCGCAAACAAGAACAAACCCGGCAAUCCGUGCUGAGCGUGAUGGCCCCAGCACCGUCAGAAUUGAAGCAGACGGAUUUUGCUAGCAGAGAAAAAUUGCAAUCAGCUCAGAAACCUUUGGCGCCGGAGCGUCGGUGCGGAGAAUGCAACAAACACUAUGAUUUUUUGGUCCACUGUGGGCUUCCGGUGGAGGUUAUACGUUCCAAAAUGGUGCGAAAUUGCCGUGAAUGUCGAAAUGUUCAGCUGCACGAAACACCGAUUGGUUUUUGGAAUCCGGAGUUCUCACCAACACAGGAAUAACAGGAGCCGAUAACAAUGUGCCUUAAUCUGUUGCUUCUUUUAACGAAACCGUCGAACCACGUUGCUGCAAGCCCCGCCCGAGAUAGCUCUUCAUGCGUCCAACUCGACCGUAUGCAUCGAAUAGACUGUCGGAGAGUGUGGAGCCCACGCCGGUGGAUUAGAGUUGCAGCAUUUGGUGUUACGGAUUGUAUGUGAAUGAAACUCAAUCAUCUGCUGCGAACGUAGUAGUAAUAGUAAGAUUUCUUACGAUUUCAAAAUGAUGAAACCAGCAGCAGGAGAAUUUUUCGAAAAGUGGAUUACACUAGAACAAAAAAUCCUAACCACUUACAAGGAGAUGUUUAAAGAAAUUAAGCAUGAUUUCAUACGUGCACUUGCCAUUAUAAAGGAAAAAAUCCAUCACGGGGAUCCAAAAGGCGCCAAGCAGACAAUGGGGGAAAUAAUCCGCUCAAUGGAAUUGUUCACUUUAUUAGAGCUGACGAUGAAAUACCAACAGACGAAAACAUUCCAUUGUUGAUUGUUCGUGGCUCCUUUUCUGCGGACUCCAACGAAUGUACUCUCCACCUUUUAGGUCACAACAUACCCGUGGGCAACGAUUUGCGAUCCGCCUUCAAAAUUUAUCUCGAAUCGCUCACUGUUUUCAACAUAACACCUGCUGCAUUCGAUAAGCAGUUCUUCCUGUUUUUCAAUGGUGCUGUCUUCGGCUUUGAAACUUUGAGCACAACUGGCAUGACGUUUAUGCACAGUCUACAGCAGUAAAAACGAUUUUCGCU